rnacentral:rRNA from 1 species
AGUGAACGCUGGCGGUAGGCCUAACACAUGCAAGUCGAACGGCAGCACAGUAAGAGCUUGCUCUUACGGGUGGCGAGUGGCGGACGGGUGAGGAAUACAUCGGAAUCUACUUUUUCGUGGGGGAUAACGUAGGGAAACUUACGCUAAUACCGCAUACGACCUACGGGUGAAAGCAGGGGAUCUUCGGACCUUGCGCGAUUGAAUGAGCCGAUGUCGGAUUAGCUAGUUGGCGGGGUAAAGGCCCACCAAGGCGACGAUCCGUAGCUGGUCUGAGAGGAUGAUCAGCCACACUGGAACUGGGACACGGUCCAGACUCCUACGGGAGGCAGCAGUGGGGAAUAUUGGACAAUGGGCGCAAGCCUGAUCCAGCCAUACCGCGUGGGUGAAGAAGACCUUCGGGUUGUAAAGCCCUUUUGUUGGGAAAGAAAAGCAGCAGGUUAAUACCCCGCUGUUCUGACGGUACCCAAAGAAUAAGCACCGGCUAACUUCGUG